AUGAUUAAAAAAUGAGGAUCAAGAAGCCAAUCAGUUAUGGGGAGAAUUACCAAUUCAAUGAAACAGCAAUUUCAACAAUUAUCAUUUCUCAAUCAACGAACUCGACAAAUUCAACCGAACCAACGCCGACAAUUGAUAUAAGUGAUCUAAUUGACUUCUUCACAAUUAAACCUCUUGCUUACAAUUAUUUAUUUCCCAUCAUUGGUUUUAUUUUAUUAGCAAUUGUUUCAAUGAUUAUUUCUUUCUCAUGGCAGCGAUUCCAUCGUCAUCACCAGCAAUUGCCCCGUUUUAAAAGUCGAUUAGCACCAAACCUUUUGGCACCGAAUUCAGCUUUUAUUAAUCAAGACGAUUUCGAUUAUGAAAAAUACGCUGAAUUCAUCAUGCCUCCUCUGUCGGCGGAUUCAGAGUCCUUAGAGGAGCGGAUUCUCACCAGGAACCAGAUUAACGAGAUGAUCGCUAAUCGAUCUCCUCAUAGGAUUGGACUUUUAUCAAAUUCGACUGCCGUUUCCAGUCUUAAUAAUAAUAGUAUAAUUAAUAGGAAGAGAUUGAAAUCUAUGUUAAAGGGAAAGAAAACUGCCCGUCGGGUAAAGGGUAAAUUACAUUCUAAAGUUGGGGUCAUUGGCAAUGGUCAGAAAAGUUCAUCAUUACCGGAAAAUUAUUCUAUCGUUGAAUCAAGUGAUUCAUCACUUGGUCUUGGUCGAGCUCGACUUUCACUUUGUGAUACGAAAAGUGGGAAAAGUUACUCAAAAACUAAGAACAAAUCAAAAGUAAUCAAGCAAUCAGUCAAAUCGAUUCUGAUUGAGUUCAAUACAACCAAUCCUAAGGGAAAAUCUCGUAAAUCAACAAUCAAAUCAAAAAUUGUGUCCAAAAAAACUCCCCGAAAGCCCAGAGCUUUACCGCCGAGAGGAUCAUGGAGACAACCCAAAUCCAUUUGAUUUCUUGCUCUAAUUGUAAUCAAAUGUUUCUGUUAAUAUGGUUAACGUUUUCCUUAAUUUCUCUGUAAAUCCAAUUGAAUGAAAUCUUUCCAAAUCUUUUUGUCAAAAUAUUAGAACUUUUUUCUUGCAAAUCGUUUUCUUGAUCAAUCGAAAAUCGUUUGAGCAAAUGAAUGAAUAUCGACUCUCGACUGAUCGAUAACGACUAUCGAUACAAAUGGACAGAAAGGUAUCGAUAAACAUCGAGGUCAGAAUAUUGACCAUUGAGAAAUUUAACUUUCUCUCUCUUAUCUUUCAUCUUUUUUCUUCUAAAAUGGACAAAUAUAGUAAUCUUCUUAUCGGAUAAGCUUUUCUCUUCCUUUUUCCUAAAUCUUUCAAUUCGAAACUGACCAAACAUUUGAGUCCAUUUGCAAAAAGUCCGUCAAACUUUCAACUUCAAUUCUCAACAAUUCGAGGUGAUUAUUGUUUCUAUUUUGUUUUUGCUUUUUCCGUUUUUCGCUAUCAAAAUGCGUCAACCAGGAUUCAGAUCUUUCGUCCAAUGGAUUCUGUCCUCUUGUGUUUCGAGUGCUGAUGUCGAUUCUGAUAAGAAAGAACCGAUUAAGAAUCCAGCUGAACCAAAUCUUCCAGUAAUCAAAUUUGACACCAACGCGAGGGCCGAUAGAUGGGCACCCGAGAAGAAAUAUCCACCAAUGGAACCUCAACAAUUGGCUAAGCUUGAAAUGACCUUUCUCCGAUGUCCAUAUCCUGAUAUCUUUGUCCGUGAAGAAUUGGCCUAUCGUUUAAAUUUACACGAAUCUCAAGUUCAAAGUUGGUUCAUUCAUCGUCGUUCAGUUAAUCGAAAACGAUAAAAAUUCAAUUAACUUUUCAUGUUCAAUUAUCAUGAAAAAAACGAAUCAAAGAUGAAAAUUCUCAUUCAAUCGACUUUACCAAUGUUUCAUAUUCCAAGUCAAUUGUCACAACUAAACUACAUGAAUGUUCAUUACAUUUAAAAUAUAAUCAAAUAAAUGACUGAAUCUUUGAUUUACUCAAUUAACCAAAAUAUU